UAUCCCAUCCAGAAAGAGAGAGUAUGAAUACAAAGAGAGUUAUACACCAAGAUAAAUAUUUUAGUCUUGAGUGUCCUCUUUAGUAGUUGUUCCUUUUACAAGAGAGAAGUGUUUAUUAUUAUUUUCUCCUUGUAUUUGAGAGUUGUGUACUCCAUAUUAAAAUAGUGAGAUCCUUGGUUUUUCCCUUCUAUCAUUUAGAGAGGUUUCCACGUAAAAUUCUCGUGUCCAAUUUAUUUUCAUUAUUUUCAUCAUAUCAAACUUUAGUUGUGGUGCUUCCUCCCCCAAACAUGGACAACACAAGCCAAGAGUAAGCUCUCAUAUUAUAAGCUCGAGCCAAAGUUGCUAGACCGCGUGGGUGUAGCACUUGCGUUUAUUUUCUUUAAAAAUUCGAACUAUCUUAAAAUUAGUAUAUAAUUACUUCCAUAUAAUUAAUUUGUUUGAUACCAUCAGCCCGGAAUCUUUUCCAUUUUUUCUUCUUUAUUAAAUCUAUAUCCUAUAGUUUAAAUUAAAGUUUUUUCUUUUAAUUAUUAUUUCAGUUAAGUUGGUCCAACUGUGAUUAUUGGACAGACGACUAAAGAGAGAAUUAAGAUGUGCUUGCAGAAAAUAAGAAAUACGAGUAAUGAACUAUUUUUCAAUAAUCUAUGGAAAUUAUAUUUUUUUUACUAAGAUGUAAAUACUCCAAAAAUGUGAUUCUUAUCGAUACGAAAAAAUAAAAUGGCAUAGAAAAUCUUAUUCAAAUCUAAUUAAAGCCUUUUUAAGAGAUGUGUGAGGUCAAUAUGAGUCAAGUAAUAUGAAACAGAUGAAGUAUUAAAGAGUUGUUUUUUUAAAAGAUAUUGAUUAAGGGUAAGUUAGUAAAAUACAUUUUACUUUCUAGCAAUGAGUAGAUUUCUUAAAGAGUGUGCCUAAGUGUUACAUUCCGUAUUUUUGCAUUUUGGAUUAUUCGUAAGCUAACGAUUAUAAAUUCAAGGACUUUUAAUUUUGAAUUUUAAAAUGACAUGAUUUGUUGUAGAUGCCAAGUUAUAUGAAUAAUUUAUGUGUAGUAAAAUACAUCUCAAGAAGGACCCUUAAGCCAAAUCAAAAUAGAAGCCAUCAAAUAUGUUUUUCUUAAAGUCACGUUUCGGGUAAGCUGACUUCGGGAGGCCAUAACCUCUUUAUAAUUUGAGAAUUUGGGAAAACUCUCAACAUGAAAGUUGUAGAUAAUUGAAAUAUCUUUCCAACCAUAGGUCGUGGGACGAAAUGUGAUAUCGGAGUAAUAAGAUAUAGACGUUUUAAGUCUGACAGGCCAAACUAAAUAGUGAAUUCGGUCCAACCCAAUUCUAAUUCGGGUCAGGCCCAAUACCCACGAAAUUAAAUCUGAUUUUUGUAACUAUUCCUUCAUAAUUUAGACCAACAUAAUUCUGGAAAUUUCCAGAGAGAGAGAGAAAGGGAGUUCUUGAGAGAAAUCCCAAAUCCGACCAAAAUUCAAGUCCCGAAAUCCGAAGCUCAUGAAGAGAAAAUUGUUGUACGUUGCGUUGGCUUCAAUUUGAGCUAGAAAUCAGCCAAUAAGGAGAAGAUUUUAUGUGGUGCUGCAAAUUUAAGGUUGAGACAAUAUUGGACAACAUAUACGUAUAAACGCUAAAGGUACAAAUACUCAUUUUGGAGAGCCGCCAACUUAGGAUUCUACUCAACGGGUUUGAAGUGCUCCAUUGUCUCGGAGCCCAAACUUUGGGUACUAAUCCUUAUAAUGUAUAUAUUUGUGUAUUUAGGGGUACGACGGGGCCCUGUCCCGUCAUAUGCUAUUGUUAAUUCUCUUAGAGGUCUGUAGACAUAUGAGUGGGUUGUAUAUAGAUGUUGUCCGGUGUACUAGUAUGACUUAUGUUUUUGGACGUUUACAUUCAGACUGGAAGCCUUGUCGGCUUACAUAUUAUGUUAUCUUAUUUUUGACAAUUAAGACUCCCCAAGAAAUAGGUGAUUUUAGUAUAUAUAUAAGUAACAGUUUGAGACAACGUGCUACCCAUAUAAAUCCUUUAUCAUGCUUAAUUGCCGAUUGACUAUAGAUAAUAGGUGUGUAUACGAGGGUCCAAUUUGGACACUAGUCACGGGGCUAGGUCGUGACACUAAGUU